CGAGCUCUGAUGGGCCCUGGCACUGCUUCCCGCCACCUGCCUUCUCCUCCAGCUCGCGCCCUGAGUGACCACGGCCCCAGCCUCCGCCCCUCGACGCCGUCUCCAGGGCGCUGGACGCCAGGCGGGCAGCGGGCUCGGGAUGCGGAGAGUGAGCGCGAUUUCAGGGCAAGUUACUGUUUUCAGAAUCCAAGUGAAAUCUAACACUAUAAAACAAUGCCAAGAGCAAACGAAGGAAAGCAAAGAUCUGAAGGGGCACCCUGCCCAUCGUUUUGAUUCUUCAAGUUUCUGAAAACGUAUGAGAAGCACUGUGUGCAGUCUCAGCCAUCCAUGUGUCCAGCUGUCAAAAGGGACCUGAAAAGCAGCAUUGACAGUGACCAGGUGCUCAGGAAGUUUAUGCUUGUAAGACCUGAUGACUCCCCACCAAGAAUCCCACCAGUUUCCCUGGAACCUUUGCUCACAAUUCAAGAUGAGUGUUACACACUGGAGAAAGAGAUCUGCAUCUGUGGCCUUCAACUGAGCGACUCAGAGAUUGCCAGACUUGAAGUGACCUGGCUAUGGGCCCUCUGCACAGGAAACUGUGGGAACUUGGGCUGGGCUCAUGUGUUGACUCCAAUCCAGAUGCUUCCAUCUGAGGAGCUCCUAGUUGCUGAAUCUGCACAGUCCAGUUCUCAGUGGACCUCCAACUCCUAA
rnacentral:lncRNA from 13 species